UACGGAGGGUGCAAGCGUUAUCCGGAUUCACUGGGUUUAAAGGGUGCGUAGGCGGAUAUGUAAGUCCGUGGUGAAAUCUCUGGGCUUAACCCGGAAACUGCCAUGGAUACUAUGUGUCUUGAAUGUUGUUGAGGUGAGCGGAAUAUGUCAUGUAGCGGUGAAAUGCUUAGAUAUGACAUAGAACACCAAUUGCGAAGGCAGCUCACUAAGCAAGUAUUGACGCUGAGGCACGAAAGCGUGGGGAGCAAACAGG
rnacentral:rRNA from 1 species